UGGUCGUGUCCACUGCGUGAACUGAAUGAGACCAAAAAGCCACCGCUCUCCUAAGUCCUUCCUUCUGUUGGCGUUGGCCCCCACCCCGCCUGCCCUGCCUUCUAGCUCCGCUUCCCCAUCACCUCCUUUGCUUAGGCUACAAAUAAAGCCCAUGCUCCUUAAGGUUUCUUCCAACUUCCUCUUCCUCGUCAAAGUUUCUGGUCUUUUGCCGGCUUUCCUUUGACAACUGGGGAGUGGGGAAUCUUUAUCUAAGUUGAAUUCAUCACUCAAAGUGGUUUCCUUUACUGACCCUUUCUCGAAAAUACUCUACUUCCGUUUAUAUUCAUUCAAAAGAUUAUAUAUAUACAUAUAUAGAAAAGAAAAAGAAAAAAUCUAGCUUCUUGCCCCUCCCUUUUGUAGCAGUCAGGGAUUACGUUGAAAAAGAGGAAAGCUUUUUGUAUCUAUGGGGGGAGCUCCAGCUUUCGUUGCAGAUGAUCUACCUGGAGAUUAUCCUAAUGGAUUUGACUUGAAAUCCGAAGGCCACAAUACGGUUGUUAAUGUUGGAAAUAAAACAUAUUUAAUUGGUGGGACUGACCAUGGAUCAAAAUCCACGAUUGGAGUUCGGGUUUCUGAUAAACGUACUGGAGGAUGGGUUACACCCACUGUAUUGGGAACAAGACCGAAACCAUCUGAAGUGAUUUCAGCUGUGAUUUUGAAUGAGGAUCGGAUUUUCAUUCUCAAGGGGGAUUCUAGCCCAGAUGACUGCUUUUGGUUCCUUGAGAUCCACCAUGAACAGGUAGACACACCCUUUGUCCAAGAGAAGAGAAAGGAAUUUGGAACUGAGGUGGUUGCAUGGAGCAAAGGAGUUGUAGGUGAUGCUAAAAAGCCAAUCGUUAUCAGUGGGCCUUCUGGAGUUGGUAAGGGUACCUUAAUAUCUGCACUGAUGAAAGAAUUUCCAUCAACAUUUGGGUUUUCUGUGAGCCAUACUACCCGUGCUCCGAGGGAGAGAGAGCAGAAUGGGGUCCACUAUCAUUUUACUGAACGAAGCGUCAUGGCGGAAGAGAUUAGAGAUGGAAAGUUUCUUGAGUUUGCUGAAGUUCAUGGAAAUCUCUAUGGAACCAGCAUAGAAGCGGUUGAGGUGGUUGCAGACGCUGGAAAGAGAUGCAUCCUUGAUAUUGAUGUUCAAGGGGCAAGGUCCGUGAGGGCUAGUUCUCUUGAAGCCAUUUUCAUCUUUGUUUGUCCUCCCUCGUUUGAGGAGCUUGAGAAGCGCCUUCGUGCAAGGGGAACUGAAACUGAACAACAGAUCCAAAAGCGACUACAAAAUGCAAAGGCUGAGCUUGAACAAGCCAAGUCACAAGGACUCUUUGAUCACAUGUUGGUGAAUGAUGACCUGGAGACUUGUUAUGCGAGCCUUAAGAAACUGUUGGACCUUGAUGAAGCUGUGGAGAUAAUAAAUGAAUCAUCUCCGCCAUUAGUCGACUUGCCAAGGGACCAUUCGGUAUCAAAGAUUGAUAAGAAGAUUCUCAUAAGUUGUGGCACUCGAGAAAGAGCUUCCAAAAACAUAUUUUUGCUGGAUUUGUCCUCACUCAAAGGAGGGGCACCAGGAAGGACAAGAGGGCUCGAUAUUUAUACCAGUGAUUCAAUGACAAAUGGCAUAAAUGGUCAUAAACCUUAGCCAACAUCAAUUUUCUACUUGACUUUAGUUUUCUCUUUCCUCUCUUCUUCAGUCUUUUUUCUUUUCAGUUAACCUAAGACAAGUUGAAGCUUUUCUGAAGUUCUGAUUCCCAUAAAGAAUCAGUUUUACUUUGAAAAGUCAUUUUUCUAAAGCAUAGAUGAUUUGGAGAGUGGCUGUAGAAGGAGAUGGAGAGCACUUGCAUGAAGUUGAAGUGAUUCAAGAGUAUGAAAUUGAAGGUGAAGGACCGUCGAUCAUGAAGUGAGCGAAUGAAGAUCACAGAUGUCUAGCAACUAAUUACGGUCAAGAAUUCAGUAGUGUAACAGCCAGAAGAUGAUCAUGAUGAACAGCGGAUUACAAAUCCCUGAUCUUUCAAAUCACAAUUGAUUUGAUUUAUGAUGGCUGCACGAGGCACAAUAUUUGAUUUCUAGGUGUAGCAGAGUAUGUAUGCCGACAAUAAUCGCGCUUUUGGCACUGUCCAUCAAAAGUAGUGAGAAAAUUGUGAUAUACACAGAAACAAGCAAGUUGUCCGUGAAGAAACAGUUGUUUGGCAAAUUUUACCAUCAAACGGAUCAAACAAUAGUGGGAAGGGAAUUUCCCCAGUGACUUCUUGCAAAGGAGGCACGGUGGGUCAUAAUUCAUGGACCACAAUAGUGUCAAUCACCACAACACGUUUGCUUCAAGAAUUAAUAAUCUUCCCUGAGCUGGAAGAAUUGCAGUUGAACAG